GUAUUAAGCCAGGGGAGCUGACGACCGACCGGCCAGGUCGGUUUAAGCUGAGAAAUCCGCGAAGGGCGGAUGACCCUAUGAACCUGCUCGGGGUAAUGCCCGCGAAGGAAGGCUCGUUUUAAUGAAC
rnacentral:ncRNA from 2 species